GGGGUACCGGUACAGAGUCAAUGUGGAGACUAUAUACAGUGGGUACCGGUACAGAGUCAAUGUGGAGGCUAUAUACAGGGUGUUACGGUACAGAGUCAAUGUGGAGGCUAUAUACAGGGGGUACCGGUACAGAGUCAAUGUGGAGGCUAUAUACAGGAGGUACAGGUACAGAGUCAAUGUGGAGGCUAUAUACAGGGGGUACCGGUACAGAGUCAAUGUGGAGGCUAUAUACAGGGUAUUACGGUACAGAGUCAAUGUGGAAACUAUAUACAGGGAGUACAGGUACAGAGUCAAUGUGGAGGCUAUAUACAGGGGGUACAGAGUCAAUGUGGAGACUAUAUACAG
ensembl:lncRNA